CCUCCGUGCUGGGAGAAUGCAGCUGCACGGCUCCCUGCCGGGAAUGUCGCUCUCCGGGCAGGACUGGAGUUGCCUGUGUGAGGCAGCCCCUCUGAGGGUGAUGGGGAGGGGGUUCCUCCACAAUACUCGGUGCAGUGGAUGCAGGGAGGGCUCUUCGGACCAAAAAGUGUAACCCUGAGCUCUCUGAUGUAAACAUUCCGUGUUUUUAAAAUGGGGGAAAAGAAGAGAUUUAACAGGGCACCCUAGAAGAAACUGCAGAACCGAACAAGGAUCCUUACAUGCAAUGUGCUAAAAAAAUUCUACGUCAGGAAUAUAAUUACCUAUUAUAUUGUUCAAGGAGGUUAUAAUUUUCUGUGAAGAUCCAUAUGUCUUUUCUGUAAAGCGCAAGGGAAAUACAGAUGCUCUGGCAAGCUCUCUUCAUUUUCUUCUCACGGAAUACUGUCACUAGAGUUACUUCAGGACUUACUCGCGUCAGCAAGACAGAGGGUGUAUCGGUCUCAUAUAACUGCCUGCACAAUCCUCUCACAAAGCUUUAGAUUCUGACUCAGGGUAGUAACUCCAUCGCAUGUUAAAUACUUCUAUGUGGACUUCACUGCAGGACACGCUGCCAGCAGUGGAUAAUAAUUAGCACCAAUAAAGGGCAUCAUUAACUAUAGCAGACCCAAAUGGAAUCAAGGGACUUAAGUACAAAAAGUUAAAUUCAAGGAAUCUGCACUUAACUCCCAUUUAACCCUAGAGGCAUCUCAAUUUACAAGGUGCCCUGCCUUGUUUGAAGUUGUUUCCUGCUUUUGGACAUGAGGUGAACUCCUCUUCUUGGAACUGCUUCACACCUCUUCCCCUCCCACGUUGACCUGGACACCAGAAGGAAGGAACCCUACGGAUGCUUUGUAACCACACCCUGUGCAUAUCUGCGGGGAGGGCGUGUGUGCAUAUGCCUGUACACACACAGCCAGCCCAAGUGCCAAGAAAAUGACAACCAGCAGGGGAGGGGAGCCAUCAGGGGCUGUCUUCUGCCAAGAGCUUCGACUGCCAGCAGUGAGGCAGCAGAUGAUGUCUGGGAUCAUGACAGAGAAGAAUUGGGUGUCAAUAAUUUUUAAAGUGAUAUCAAGGAGUGAAGCUGAGGAGAAAAUUACUUGUAAGGCUGCUGCUUUCUAUUCAAAGAAAUCAUCUGGGAAGGUACAGGGAAUUUCAGAAGACUGCAUUGGCCUCUGGGAAGAACAAGAACCUGUCACCUUGGCUGGGGACACAAUGAAACAGGCUGUGUAAGCUGAAUGGACAAAAAUUUAUACCCAUGCUAAAACCAACCUCAUGACACACAAUACUACUUAAAAGCAGAUAGAUUUUGCAACUCUUCUCAUGCUGAUGACAUCAAUGGGAUUACUUAAGUGAACGGGUGUUUAUUAAACGUGAACAAGAGCUGUGCUAUGUAGCAUUAAAUGCACCCCAGUUGGGCUGGAGGUUUCGGAGUUCAUGUUCAUGACUAAUUCUUGGUGCUUGCUAAGAAGAGCUGGGAGUGCCAGCAAAGGAGCUUCCAGCUCUUGGGGGGAAAGGCUUAACUUUCUGUGCUUUAAUUGUAUUAGUCUUGCUCAUUGUGAAGGAAAAACUGAGCUCUCCAUCAUACCCUCCAAAGGCUUCCUACCUCAGGAAGAACUGUGGGAGGUUUUGUGUGCAAAUGCUCCAUAAGAAGAAAAGACCAAGAGAAUGGAAAAAAGUCUGUCUCUAUAGCAAACUCCCACAGAGAGAAAUUUCAAGGGGGUUGGUCCUACCAAGAGAGAAGUAUGUGCUUAACACACCCAGAGAGGCCCCAUUGAUUAAAUAUGUUUAAAAUCAUCACAUGGUCUGUGCCUUAACUUUUAAGCUCUUUUAGUCACAGAUUUUGUCUGCCUCUUUGGCCAAGAUUUUGUUUCAGACAGAGCAUCCUUCCAAGCACAACACUUGUGGCAGUGUAAUGGGUAACCCUAUUUCUUAAGCACAGGAAACCCAGCAGUUUUUCCAUGCUUGAGGGUUAGAUAACCCUUUAGCAUGCACUGGAGUCCAAAUAUCCUCAUGGAGAAUGUGUCCUGGCCCCUUGGGAGACUGAGCCUGUCCCUAGUAUACAAGCAGCUCCCUAGAGUGCCUCAUCUCUGCUGGUGUAGAUCCAAUAACAGAGAUACCCUGAUUUAAUUCUACAGAGGAUUUGGCUUUUAAUUUUGCAUGAUUUUCAUGAGCAGCUGGAUGGAAAAAGAAAUGCCUGAAGCUGAGUUUUGCUUUGACUUUCUGAGGUUUCCAGGUGAGUACAAAAUGUAUUAAGAGCAAUCAAAACCAGAUUGCACUUUUGCAGACCAAAUAUAUAUGUCCUUAGACUAUAUGUGGCUACAAUAAACCGUAGACAGUUGUAUUUAGAAAUCUAUUUGUUCCACCUCACUGCCUAUGCACUCGUGAUGACGAGUUGCUAUCAUAACCCUCAGUGCUGCACACUCACAGUGCCACAUCAAGCUUAAGCUUUUUAAAUAGUUUAAAUAGUUUCCUGUUGUCUUGGCGGUACAAUUUUUCACGGUUGCCCCUCAUCACCAGUCUAGCAACAGCUUACUGACAGCUGACAACAACAUGGAAGGAAUGUCUUGGUCCUACCAAGCAGCUUUGGCCUGCUUGUUCCCAUCAGCACAGAAAUCUGGAAGCUGUUCCAAGUGGCCUGGGGGACAAAGCCCCAGGCAACAAACUCCUAGGCCAGAGGAAGGCUUGAGAAAAGGACAAAGUUCACAGUUUCCCAAGAGUCAGGGGUAGGUCCCUUGUUUUCUUAAAGUGCAAAUUAAUAACCUAAAGAGGGAGAGACAAUAGUAAAGGAAACAGCAAACAGCCCUAAAAAGGCUGGAAGUAUCUUUUCUUACAGCAGGUUACACUUCCUAUUACAUGAUCAAUUUGUGAUGUUUGCAUUCAGAUAUCUGUCCCUCCCAGGAACAAUGAAAUUACAGCAGGUCUAUGUGGAGACCAAGUUCAAAUAGUCAAACUUUAAAAGAGGUAUUUUAAUAAAAAGCUGUAUGUGAGCACCUGGCUGCUGCUGAGAAUGAGGCCAGGUAGAACAUAUGAAAGCAACUUCUAACUUGUAAUGAAUUGCUUUUUGGAAUCUUUGGGUAUAUUGACUGUUCCUGAAGGAACUCAACUGCAUAAAAGCAAGAAAACAUCCAAGUCUUUGUUUAGAAUGUUUAAUUUAAGACUCUUACUCACUAGUGGAAGAAUUAAAAUUUCAAAGAUAAAAUGAGAUCUGUGCAACAGGAGCAAACUAGAAAAUUCAGCCUUUAGUUUUCUGUAUUCUGAGUGAGAAGAUUAAUUAAUUUAAAAGAAUAUCCUAAAGUAUCCAUGUCAUGGGUAACAGGUGUAAGUCUUUGCUCUCCCAUGGAAUUCUUGACAUCAUGGGAGGAUAGGUUGCUUCCACGGUACAGAAUAUUUAUUUUGCUGGAUUCUUCUCUUCAUUGUACUUGUGGCACAUUAAUAUCCAGUGCACUCUAAUGAACCAAGUGAGGUAUAUUAGUCAGGACAGACAAGAGAUUAAGUACUGUAAUAUUUUGUUAUGCUGGAGGCAGCUGGUGUCUUGUGGCUGUUGUGAUGAUUUGGGGGGUUUGUCUAAGAAAAACUUACAGGUUAUGGAUUUUGUAAAUUUUUGUGAUAUGGAAAACUCUGCUGCAUCAGAAGGCUGAUCCUUGUGUCGCUUCUACCUUUCACCCUCUGACUCAGAGUGGCUAGCGUUCCUAGGAGGCGCUGGCACAGGGCUGGCACUGGUCAUUAGUGAUGCCCUGCAAUGCACACACGCUGAGCAAUGGCCAGUCAGACUGGUUCAUAAAUCAGUUUGGCAAUGCUGUCACCUGGCAAGGGACUGUUGUCAUCAAACAACUGAAUCAGAAACCACUCUGAGAAAGGAGGGAGAAUUUGCCCUCUUUGAAUCAUGUUAAGGCUUGAUCAGCUCCUACAGCUGAGGAACAGCCUGCAGGAGGACAUCUUUAAGACAGGGAAAUGCCAGCACUGUUAAGUGCACAUGAAUUACCAAGGACAUUCAAGAGAGUGGAUGGGACAAGAGGCUAGAGACAAAAGCUGUUUAGUGAAGAUGUUUAUCCUUGGAAUUUAAUUGAAGCUUAAAAUAAAAGGUAAACAAAAGCUCAGGAAAUCUAUGUGUAGGUAUCUGCUAGUUUUUGCAUGUUUGGUUACACACCAUAUCUGUGUUCAUUCUGAGUUAAUACAUAAACCAGAAUGUUUGUUCCUCCUCUAAAACUCUGGGAAAGUGAAACUCUGUGAGGUCUGUCUGGACCCCAGGAAAACAUAGUUUUCCUGUGGGUCUCACUUCUCAUGAAACAGUGCUGGGUGGAAUGUGAUCCAUUUUAGCGUGGAUUUGAAGGAUAAACAGACUCUGGACAGCUAUUAGGUGUGGAGCUAGAUUUUGCCUUUCAGAGCAAAGGCAGUAGGAAUGGGAUGAGUGGAGUUGCCAUGCAUGUGUGCAAUGCACCAGUGGAUCCCUGCAGUGGAAAAAGCCCCUGCUCAGACAGCAGCUCAUCAUUGCAAACUUGGCAAGAGCAACUUUCAAUCAAAUAAACAUGAGGGAAAGAAGGACCAAAAAUUAGGAUGUCAUAUCGUGAAGACUUUAUUUUUGAAUCUAGAUCUGCUCAGUAAAUGGAAAUUGGCAAUACUUCAGAAACUUGAAGCAAGUGGAUCGAUUGGGUGUAAUGAGGAAAAGAAAGAUCAUAAAAGGACUUCCAUAAGGUUGAGGAUGUUUGCAACAGAACAUCCCAAAAGUUUAGUGAAGGCUACUUGAGGGACUUGUACCCCAAUACAAUGGGCAAUGAAGGAAGAUGUGAGAUACUCUGAGAAUGAGAGUUUGAGGACUGAAAUGCAAUAGUAACACCUGGGAAUUGCACAGGAAUAUGAGUACUGGCUUACCUAUAACAUAACUACAGUGACAAGUGUCAUACAGAGCAAUACUGGAAGAUAAAAGACGCAGAAAAGUUAGUCUUAGGUGCAGAAUGUCACAUGGAGUUGUGCAGCUGUUCAGAUCUGGUAAAGUGAAGUUUUGAAGUUAGAAAAAUAAUGCCUAAAUAACAGGGACAGCAGAUUCCUUUGCUGUUGAUUCAUGUCCCAAAUGCCAGAAAAGAGGACUUCUAUGUGAAAACAUUAAGCAAAUAGUUUGUAGGCAAAUGGUCUGCUGUGGUAAAAUGGCUUUGCCUUAGAAAACAGAAGAUAUGAUAUAUUGAAAUAGUAUUCUAGCAAAGAGUGGAAAAAGAAAAGAAACAGUUGUCAACUGAAUCUGAUUUUGAAGUCUAGGCUAGGAUGAAUUUUAAAUUUGAAAUAUCAGAGGGUCUCACUGGUUAUGGAUUCCUACUUGUUUCUGCAAUAUCUUGGAUCCACACAAACAUUUUAUGUGUUUUAUAAAAGAAAAUUAUGAUAAACCCAAAAGAAAAAGUGAGUCAGUAGAUUUGAUGGAUCACCAUUUAUAAGACAGCCACAAAGUUCAAAGAGAUAAAAAUGUCUCCCUUUGAAAUAGGAAGUGGCCUAACUUCACCCUGUCCCUCAGCUUCCCUCAGCAUUCCGGUUAAAAUGUCCCCAGUGACCACGACCUCGAUGCAGUCACUUAAUGAUUUGCCUUUACAUAAAGAACUGUGUAAAAUGCAGGCAGGGUAAAGAGCAUUUGCACAGCAGAGGUGAUGUUUGUGUUACGGAAAAGGAUCCAUGUAAGACAAGAGUGGCCCUUAUGCAGCCGUAUCUCAUGGGAUCAUCAAUGGAUCAUGGUUUUGCUUUGUUUUGUUUUGGUUUUGAUCUGUGUAAACCUUUGCUUGAGGCAGAAGCAGGCAAUCAAUACUUGCUGUCAGCAGCCAAUUACUUAAAAAGUGGUUGGAAGUUUUUCCACGAAGGAGACAAGACACUCAGAGGGUAAUAAAAUUUUUGACCAGAUCUGAUAAAGGCAUUUGCAGAGAUGGUUUUGAACCUACAGUUAUUCCAUGAGUUUACAAGGAAUUGGCAGCCUACCCACUGCAGCAUCUCACCAGAUGGGGGAAGAGUUCAUUGAGACUUAUCUGACUUCAGGGUGAACCACUGUGGUUUUGGGACUAGGUACAUCCCACUUCUUCUCAUAAGUUACAAGGCUUUCCGGAUUGCUCCCUCCCCAUUCAGUGAAACAGAUCUUUGCACCUUUAUUGUGAAGGAAACAGUCAAUGCUCAGGAAACACUUGGCUUUUGCCAGCCAGUCAUCCUAGCCCGAGCUCCCUGCGUGGCUCCAGGCACGGACUGCUCAGGGCAAAGCAGAGCCCCUACAGGGUGCUCGGGUUAGGCUGGCUUGCUAAAGCCUGUUUAAUAAGUGUGCUACUCCAAGGAAUGCAUUUCCUUGAAUGCACUCCCAAGGUCUCUACCCUAGGAGGAAAAGAUUUUCCCCAGCCACAAAAAUACCCCUGAGAUACAAUUACCCGGUGUUGCCAGGCCAACAGUGCAGCCUACUGGCCAUUUCACUCUAAUUAGCUCCUUGAGUUUCCAGCAAAAUUCGGUCUCCAGCGGGAACCUUAAAAGAUCCAUGCAGACAUGCUUGGUUUCAAUACAACAUGUUUUUACCAGCAGAGCCAUAAUACUCACUGAGGGUGGCUUAAAUACCUUUGACUUGUGGCAGAUCCCAUAUAUCUUCAUAGACAAUUUGCAGUUACUAUAGCAAAAUAUGUCACUUAAGCUGCUUUAAGUUAUUUCUUGGAAUUUCCUUUGAUUUAUUCAUGGCUGGAGGAUUUGCAAUUCAGAGUUUUGGCCGCUUGUCAACAGUUUCUCUAAGGGAGAGAUGCAUUCCACAACCUUUAAAUAGGCUGGGACCAUCUUGUCAGAUGUGUUUCCUACAUCAGACCACAUUCCUUAUGCCUACAGUUAAGCAAAUUUUCUUGCAAUUAUUUCCACUUUCUAGGCUAUUUAAUUUUUUUUCUUAGAGCUUGGGUUAAAAAAAUUAUUUAUCUUGUAGUUGAUAUAAGUACAGGACCAUAUGGGACAGGUUUUAGAAAAAAAGAUAAUUUACAACCAAGGAAAAUAAUUAUUCUCUGACAUAAUAAUUCAUUGUCUCUGUUGUGGCUUAGGGUCAACACUCCUUCUCUAGGUAAAAAAAUUUUAUUUCUGGUAGUCCUUUGACAGUGUGUUUAUCAAAAUAUGACAUAAUAAUGAAAAAAAAAAGUGAAACACGAUGUUAUUUUCAAUGGAAAUUAUUGCAUUCCUGAAAUUUGGCUUGAGUUAAAUGUAACUGUUCAUACUGAUCAGAAAACAUACAUUAAAAAAUGUUUCAGCAGUGCUUAUAUUCAUAAUGGUGUCCUCUUCCAUUAACCUAGCAUUUCAUUAUGUUGCUCUCAUUAACUGUUGUGUAAAUAAGAAUAUAAAUAUAUCUCAGUUCCUGUGCUUGUUGCUUGAGACAUAAUUUCAACUCGA